UUUCCGUAGGUGAACCUGCGGAAGGAUCAUUCAUAAUAAGUGUUUUAUGGCACUUUUUUAAAUCCAUAUCCACCUUGUGUGCAAUGUCAGGGUUGAUUUUUCUCUCGAGACGAUCAGCCCCAAACAUCAACUAUAUCUCAACUCUUUGUCUGAAAAAUAUUAUGAAUAAAACAAUUCAAAAUACAACUUUCAACAACGGAUCUCUUGGCUCUC
rnacentral:misc_RNA from 1 species